AGGCGCUGAGUGCAGAGUGAGGCCGGGUGCGGGCUGCGCCUUCUGAGAGGGAGGCGGUCCGCACAUUUCCGAGCAGAGGCGCGUGGGCCUCUGAAGGGUCCCUCGGGCUGCGGUGUGGAGUGUGGACUGCAGGAGGCUGGGAUGCUGAAUCACUUAGGAUGCAUUCAGAGGCGAACAACUCGCUUGCCAGCUAGCAGCAGCUUGCACGAUGCCAUUGUGAUCUCACUGAAUACGAAGCCACCGUCUCUCCUCCCUCCAAAAUCCCCACAUACACUUUCUGCCUUCCUGCCUGUUGCCUCAUGGCCCAGGGUGGCUGUCAUAGCACAGGGCAUCACACCGUUACACCGCCAUCUCAAACGGGAAGGAAGUGGCAGGUGUACAAAGGAUGACCACUUUGUGAAUCAGGUUACGAUUUUCUUUCCUAACAAAGGAAAAGCUUCUCAGAGGCUCCUCCUGCAAGUGUCUCUUUAACCCCGUUAGGCCGCCCUGGGCCAUGUGGCCAGCCCUGACUUUAAGAGGGUGGGAAAGUGAACAUGUGUCAAAGUGGACCAGAAUGGCCAGCACCCACUAGGCGGGCACAUAGUUGCCCCAAACAAAAUCAGGGUUCGCUUAGCUGGGAAGCAGGUGCUAAGGCUUUCGGGGAGGCUGCCAACUGGCCUGUCACAGAGAAAAAUCAGAGCCCAGGGAGGGGUUUUGACAGCAGCACGGAGAGAGAUGAUGUGGUUUGAACAUGGGGGCCAUGAGCAGUGCCUCUUUCUCUUAGAGAGGGUGCGUCCAGUGUAAAUGUGAAGGAGAGAUAGAAACCCAGGCUCUUCAUUUUUGGUCUGAGUGACUGUGUCCAGGAGGAUGCCUUUUGCAAAGAUGGGGAAGACAGAGGGAAGAGCUUGUUAGUCACAGGGUGGAAAUUAAGAAUUGCCUACUGGGGACAGAAGUGGAGAUGCUAUGCAGGGUGGAGUAUCUCGAGGGAUGCCGAGACGAGAGGCCACUGCCGCAGCCCUGCGCCUGGAGGCUGGGCUCACCACAUCCUCUCUGCCCUUCCCUCCGUGCUGCGUGACACUGGAGCUGGCCUUUGAAAGCCACAUCAGCCUGUUCCUUGACCUGUGGUUUCUGGUUAUGCUAAGCCAACAGGAGCACCAAAGGCCCUGGAGGGAAGGAAAGAGCAAGGCGAAGGUGUUUACUAUUCCCCUGACUUCCUCCUGCCAGGUCACUGAGGGUUGGCUGUGCGCCUCAACUGAAGCUCCGGCCCUGUCAGGCACCCACCACUCUCCUUUCUCUCUCUCCGGUUCCAGUUCCUGCCUCCUCCCCUUGUUCUUGCCAGCGGGGGGUGGCAUCACGCGGGCGUGGUGAAUCCUGGCCCUUGGGACUUCCCUGCGCCUUGCACAGAUCGCGCAGAUUGUGGUAGAUGGUCCCUUGCAAGUGUCAUCCUGCCUGAUGCAUCACCACCGAGGAAGUGACCGAAGUCAGAGACAGAGGACGCCGUCACUCCCCAAGAAUGAAGUCGGUAGGGGAUAUUAUUGGACUUCGUAUGCGAUGGCAAUGACUCAACAGAAAGAAAAAUUGCUGAUGCAAGAAAAAGAGCGUCUUGCCUCCUCCAGGCAAGAGGGCACCAGACUUGGGACAGCUCACUCGAGGCAGGGAAAGAAAAGCAGUUCGCACGAUUGCAGGCACAGGGCUCUGUGGAAGACGCAGAGGACCCCAGCAUCCCAGCACGGUGCAGCCCCUCCUGGACCUCCGCAUCUCAGAGGCCACCACUGUCCGGAAUUUUGUGUUCACCAUUCCCUUUCUCUCUGUACAUCUAUGUGCAAUUUAUUGUGCAGUUGUACAUGCUUUUGAAAUUCGUUUCUUUUAAAAAAAAAAAAAAGCAGUCUCGAUCUGUCGCCCAUGCUGGAGUGCAGUGGUGUCAUCUCAGCUUACUACAACCUCUACCUCCUGGGUGUGAGCAAUUCUCGUGCCUCAGUCUCUGAGUAGCUGGGACUACAGGAGUGCGCCACCACAACUGGCUAAUUUUUCGUAUUUUCGUAGGAGACAGGGUUUUACCAUGUUGUCCAGGCUGGUCUCAAACUCCUGAGCUUAGGCAAUCCGCCCGCCUGGGCUUCCCAAAGUGCUGGGAUUACAGGUGUGACCCAAUGCGCCCAGCCCCAUGCUUUUGAAAUUCACACAAGAGCGCUGAGCUGUCGUCCUCUGGUGCUGCAGUGUACCCGGGUUGUCGUGUGUAGCUGUGAAUCACUUGUUUUCACCACAUGUAUUAGUCUGUCGUGUGACAAUUUAUUGAUCCAUUCUACUUUGAUGGAGAUUUGUGCUGCUGUCCAAUUCCUGCUAUUUCAAUUCUCCAGUGAACAUUUAAUGUCGUUCUCCUGGUGCUUGGACAAGAGCCUGCAGGUCUAACCCGAGGAGAGAAAUUGCUGGGCCAUGGGACGUGCCUCUUGACCUCACUGGAUGCUGCUAAAUUAGGGCCCAAAGUGCAGUGACGACCAUCCCGCAGCACCACACAGACCCUGGCUUGCUUGGCAUUCUCUCCGACACUCUAGUGUUAUCAGCCUUCAUGUUGUUGUCAGUCUGGUAGGCAUUCCAGGUCCCUCACUCUGUUUUAAUCUGCGUUUUCCUGCUCACUAAUGGAGCAGGGCAUUUUCUCACAUUCCUUGCCCAUUCACGUCUUCCCCUUUGCCAAAACGCCUGUUCAAAUCUUCCACCCACUUUUCAACUGGAUUCUGUCUCUCCUUCUGAUUGACUUGUCGAAGUCCUUACAUGUUCUGGGCACAAACCCUCCAUCAGAUGUGUGUAGUUGCAGUAUCUUCUCUCACUCUGUGAUUUGUCUCUUGCUUAUUUCGUGAUUCUUUUGAUAUGUAGAAGUUCCUCGUUAUACUGUAACUGAAAUAUAUCCAGCUUUUCCCAAUGUUUUGUGCUUUUUGAAUCCUAGGAAAUUCUUCCUUUGUUCAUUGUUGUGAGAGAUUCUUUGGGAGAUUUGAGAAUAGAUUCUCCUAUAUUCUCUUCUAAAAUUUGUGCAGUUUUGCUUUUUCUAUUUUAAACCACUUGCAAAUGAUUUUUCUGUAUGAUGUGAGGCAGGCGCCAUUUUCAUCAUCUUAAUAUAAUUAAAUUGUCAUGACACCAUUCACAGAAGGGCCCCAACUGUCUGCUGUCUGCUCUGCUCAGACGAACCCUUCACCUGCUCUGGGCCAGUACUCCCUGCAUUGAUUACAAAAGUCUUAUUAAAAGGUUAAUGCCUCUACCUGGGUUCUUCUU